rnacentral:rRNA from 1 species
CAGUCGCCGCGGUAAUACGAAGGGGGCUAGCGUUGUUCGGGAUUACUGGGCGUAAAGCGCACGCAGGCGGCUCGAUAAAUUAGAAGUGAAAGCCUUGGGCUUAACCUGAGAAUUGCUUUUAAGACUGUCGAGCUAGAAUCCAGAAGAGGGUAGUGGAAUUCCGAGUGUAGAGGUGAAAUUCGUAGAUAUUCGGAAGAACACCAGCGGCGAAGGCGACUACCUGGUCUGGCAUUGACGCUCAUGUGCGAAAGCGUGGGGAGCAAACAGGAUUAGAUACCCCUGUAGUCCCUGUCUCUUAUAC